rnacentral:rRNA from 1 species
AGAGUUUGAUCCUGGCUCAGAUUGAACGCUGGCGGCAUGCUUUACACAUGCAAGUCGGACGGCAGCACAGAGAAGCUUGCUUCUUGGGUGGCGAGUGGCGAACGGGUGAGUAACAUAUCGGAACGUACCGAGUAGUGGGGGAUAACUGAUCGAAAGAUCAGCUAAUACCGCAUACGUCUUGAGAGGGAAAGCAGGGGACCUUCGGGCCUUGCGCUAUUCGAGCGGCCGAUAUCUGAUUAGCUAGUUGGUGGGGUAAAGGCCUACCAAGGCGACGAUCAGUAGCGGGUCUGAGAGGAUGAUCCGCCACACUGGGACUGAGACACGGCCCAGACUCCUACGGGAGGCAGCAGUGGGGAAUUUUGGACAAUGGGCGCAAGCCUGAUCCAGCCAUGCCGCGUGUCUGAAGAAGGCCUUCGGGUUGUAAAGGACUUUUGUCAGGGAAGAAAAGGCUGUUGCUAAUAUCAGCGGCUGAUGACGGUACCUGAAGAAUAAGCACCGGCUAACUACGUGCCAGCAGCCGCGGUAAUACGUAGGGUGCGAGCGUUAAUCGGAAUUACUGGGCGUAAAGCGGGCGCAGACGGUUACUUAAGCAGGAUGUGAAAUCCCCGGGCUCAACCCGGGAACUGCGUUCUGAACUGGGUGACUCGAGUGUGUCAGAGGGAGGUAGAAUUCCACGUGUAGCAGUGAAAUGCGUAGAGAUGUGGAGGAAUACCGAUGGCGAAGGCAGCCUCCUGGGAUAACACUGACGUUCAUGCCCGAAAGCGUGGGUAGCAAACAGGAUUAGAUACCCUGGUAGUCCACGCCCUAAACGAUGUCAAUUAGCUGUUGGGCAACUUGAUUGCUUGGUAGCGUAGCUAACGCGUGAAAUUGACCGCCUGGGGAGUACGGUCGCAAGAUUAAAACUCAAAGGAAUUGACGGGGACCCGCACAAGCGGUGGAUGAUGUGGAUUAAUUCGAUGCAACGCGAAGAACCUUACCUGGUCUUGACAUGUACGGAAUCCUCCAGAGACGGAGGAGUGCCUUCGGGAGCCGUAACACAGGUGCUGCAUGGCUGUCGUCAGCUCGUGUCGUGAGAUGUUGGGUUAAGUCCCGCAACGAGCGCAACCCUUGUCAUUAGUUGCCAUCAUUCGGUUGGGCACUCUAAUGAGACUGCCGGUGACAAGCCGGAGGAAGGUGGGGAUGACGUCAAGUCCUCAUGGCCCUUAUGACCAGGGCUUCACACGUCAUACAAUGGUCGGUACAGAGGGUAGCCAAGCCGCGAGGUGGAGCCAAUCUCACAAAACCGAUCGUAGUCCGGAUUGCACUCUGCAACUCGAGUGCAUGAAGUCGGAAUCGCUAGUAAUCGCAGGUCAGCAUACUGCGGUGAAUACGUUCCCGGGUCUUGUACACACCGCCCGUCACACCAUGGGAGUGGGGGAUACCAGAAGUAGGUAGGAUAACCGCAAGGGGUCCGCUUACCACGGUAUGCUUCAUGACUGGGGUGAAGUCGUAACAAGGUAGCCGUAGGGGAACCUGCGGCUGGAUCACCUCCUU